rnacentral:rRNA from 1 species
UUAUGAGAGUUUGAUCCUGGCUCAGGACGAACGCUGGCGGCGUGCCUAAUACAUGCAAGUCGAACGCUUUUUCUUUCACCGGAGC